rnacentral:rRNA from 1 species
AGGGCAUUCGGUGGAUGCCUUGGCGCUGAGAGGCGAUGAAGGACGUGCUACGCUGCGAAAAGCCAUGGGGAGCUGCGAGGAAGCUUUGAUCCGUGGAUAUCCGAAUGGGGAAACCCACCUCCGAAGCCAGAAUUCAGAACUCAGAACCGAACUCGGAAGAGUGCGAACCGGGCGGACGUUUCCGUCCGGUCACGUGCUUUCCGGCCGCGGUUUCUGACUUCUGAUUUCUGGCUUCAGAAAGAGGUAUGGACCUCCGAAUAAAAUAGGAGGUUUCAAGCUAACCCGGGGAACUGAAACAUCUCAGUACCCGGAGGAAAGGACAUCAACCGAGACUCCGCUAGUAGUGGCGAGCGAACGCGGACUAGGCCAGUGGCGAAUGCGAGACAACCGGAAUCCGUCAGGAAAGCGGAACCGUAGAGGGUGAUAGUCCCGUACGGGUAAUGCAAACAUUCGUCCUUGAGUAAGGCGGGACACGUGCAAUCCUGUCUGAACACGGGGGGACCACCCUCCAAGCCUAAGUACUCCUCAGCGACCGAUAGCGAACCAGUACCGUGAGGGAAAGGUGAAAAGCACCCCGACGAGGGGAGUGAAACAGUUUCUGAAACCGGACGCCUACAAGCAGUCGGAGCCUCCUUGAGAGGUGACGGCGUACCUUUUGUAUAAUGGGUCAACGACUUGGUCUAUCUAGCAAGCUUAAGCCGGUAGGUGUAGGCGCAGCGAAAGCGAGUCUUAAAUGGGCGACUUAGUUAGAUGGAUCAGACCCGAAACCAGAUGAUCUAGGCAUGAGCAGGAUGAAGGUUGGGUAACACCAACUGGAGGUCCGAACCCACACCUGUUGAAAAAGGUCGGGAUGACUUGUGCCUAGGGGUGAAAGGCCAAUCAAAUCUGGAGAUAGCUGGUUCUCCGCGAAAGCUAUUUAGGUAGCGCCUCGGACGAAUACCCCAGGGGGUAGAGCACUGCAUGGAUGAUGGGGGCCCACAGCCUUACUGAGUCUAAGUAAACUCCGAAUACCAGGAAGGACUAUCCGGGAGACACACGGCGGGUGCUAACGUCCGUCGUGGAGAGGGAAACAACCCUGACCAACAGCUAAGGCCCCCAAUUCGUGGCUAAGUGGGAAAGGAUGUGGGAAUCCCAAAACAACCAGGAGGUUGGCUUAGAAGCAGCCAUCCUUUAAAGAAAGCGUAACAGCUCACUGGUCUAAAUAAGGGUUCCUGCGCCGAAGAUGUAACGGGGCUCAAGCCACGAGCCGAAGCUUUGGGUGCGUCGCAAGACGCGCGGUAGCGGAGCGUUCCGUAAGCCUGCGAAGGGAGACCCGUCAGGGCUCCUGGAGGCAUCGGAAGUGCGAAUGCUGGCACGAGUAACGACAAACAGUGUGAAAGACACUGUCGCCGAAAGUCCAAGGGUUCCUGCGUAAAGUUAAUCUGCGCAGGGUUAGCCGGCCCCUAAGGCGAGGCCGAAAGGCGUAGCCGAUGGGAACCACGUUAACAAUCGUGGGCCAGCGGGUGGUGACGAAUUCCGUAAGUUGUCUAAGGUUAUUGGAUUCCGAAGGCAGCGAAGGAGUUCCAGGAAAUAGCCCCCGCAUAGACCGUACCCGAAACCGACACAGGUGGACUGGUAGAGCAUACCAAGGCGCUUGAGAGAACUAUGCUGAAGGAACUCGGCAAUCUGCCUCCGUAACUUCGGGAUAAGGAGGACCCCUCUUUGGGCAACCAUCGAGGGGUGGCACAGACCAGGGGGUGGCGACUGUUUAGCAAAAACACAGGGCUCUGCGAACUCGCAAGAGGACGUAUAGGGUCUGACGCCUGCCCGGUGCCGGAAGGUUAAGAGGAGGGGUGCAAGCCUUGAAUCGAAGCCCCGGUAAACGGCGGCCGUAACUAUAACGGUCCUAAGGUAGCGAAAUUCCUUGUCGGGUAAGUUCCGACCUGCACGAAUGGCGUAACGACUUCCCCGCUGUCUCCAGCAUAGACUCAGUGAAAUUGAAUUCCCCGUGAAGAUGCGGGGUUCCUGCGGUCAGACGGAAAGACCCCGUGCACCUUUACUGUAACUUUGCACUGGCAUUCGUGUCGGCAUGUGUAGGAUAGGUGGUAGGCUUUGAAGCGCGGGCGCCAGCUCGUGUGGAGCCAACCUUGAAAUACCACCCUUGUGAUUAUGGAUGUCUAACCGCGUCCCGUUAUCCGGGGCCGGGACAGUGCAUGGUGGGCAGUUUGACUGGGGCGGUCGCCUCCCAAAGAGUAACGGAGGCGCGCGAUGGUG